CUUAAGUUCAGCUCUGAGUUCAGUUAUUUCUUGUCAUUUGCUUGCUUUGGUUUGCUCUUGCUUCUCUCGUUCUUUUUGUUAUGAUGUUAGGUCAUUAAUUUGCAAUCUUUCUAAUUUUUUGAUGUGUGCAUUUAGUGCUAUAAAUUUCCCUCUUAACACUGUCUGAGCUGUGUCCCAGAGAUUCUGCCAUCUCAGCCCGCUUAAGAAUCCUUGCUGGAGAGGUAGUGUAGUCACUGGGAGAAAAGAAGACACUCUGGCUUUUUGAGUUGUCAGAGUUCUUGUGCUGGUUCUUUCUCAUCUUUGUGGGCCAAUCUUCCUUCAAUCUUUGAAGGUGCUGUCCUUUGGAUAUUUUUUUUCUUUUAUCCUACUUGAUGACAUUGGAGGCUUGAUUGUGAUAUAAGGGUGAUGGCAUCAGGAUCUGUCCUUGUUCACAUGUGCCAGCAGCAGUGGCAGCAGAAAAGUGGUAAGAUGCAUGCUCAUCAGCUGUGGCUGGGUGCUAGUGGGUGCUGGGUUGCUGGCUUCCAUGAGGGUGUUCACAGCAGCUGCAGGGCAGCACGGCUGGGUGGGGAUGCCAUUAGCAACUGUGCACGUGUUCACAGUUGUGGUGGUGUUAGCAUAGGGGUGGGGUGCUGGUGGGCACAAGACUGUGUGCACCCUCUGUGAGCAUUCCCACAGGCAGCAGUGGCUGGGUCCACUGUUCUCCAUGACUCGUUUUGCACCAGUGGCAGUGUUGGCUCAGGGACAGGUGCUGGCAGGCAUGGGGCUGGUGGGCUCCAUGCCCACCAAAGUUCUGAUGACAGUGGUGGUGUGGCCAGAGGAUUGGGA
rnacentral:lncRNA from 10 species